GUCUCGAUAGCUAAGUGGUAUAGCAUGCGAUUGCAGCUCUGAUAGCUACAUAUCGUGAGGUCCGGUGUUCGAACCACCGUCGGGACU